AAUCCAUAGGUUAAUGAGGCGAACCGGGGGAACUGAAACAUCUAAGUACCCCGAGGAAAAGAAAUCAACCGAGAUUCCCCCAGUAGCGGCGAGCGAACGGGGAGGAGCCCAGAGCCUGAAUCAGCAUGUGUGUUAGUGGAAGCGUCUGGAAAGGUGCGCGAUACAGGGUGACAGCCCCGUACACAAAAGCGCAUGUGCUGUGAGCUCGAUGAGUAGGGCGGGACACGUGGUAUCCUGUCUGAAUAUGGGGGGACCAUCCUCCAAGGCUAAAUACUCCUGACUGACCGAUAGUGAACCAGUACCGUGAGGGAAAGGCGAAAAGAACCCCGGCGAGGGGAGUGAAAAAGAACCUGAAACCGUGUACGUACAAGCAGUGGGAGCACAGGUUUACCUGUGUGACUGCGUACCUUUUGUAUAAUGGGUCAGCGACUUAUAUUCUGUAGCAAGGUUAACCGUAUAGGGGAGCCGGAGGGAAACCGAGUCUUAAC
rnacentral:rRNA from 1 species